UUGUCAAAAUAACAGUUUUCAAACCUUGGCGCUUAAACACACACUCGUGAGUUCGGCUCGUAUCACAAAAUUGAUCCCUCAUGAUAUGCAUACUUUUCGCCGCACAUAAUGAAAUAUACUAUUCUUUUUCUAUAUAGAAAAGACUCUUUUGUACGUAGAAAAGAUUCUUUUCUAUAUUGAAAAAGAACCUUUUUUUGCUUAAAACGUUUCAUUUUUAGAGGCAAUAGUAUGUGUAAUCGUAGUAGGCAUAAUUUUUUCCAUUGUUUCGUAGUCCUGUGAUCAUUCUCUACACGCUGGAAUUUCGAUUGAUCCAAAUCCGUUGAACAGA